rfam:Schistocephalus solidus strain NST_G2 genome assembly, scaffold: SSLN_scaffold0001141
GGCCUAGUAGCUCAGUUGGCUAGAGCGUUGGCUAUACUAAAGCCUUCCCCUUGGUGGCGUGGGUUCGCAUCCCACCGAGGUCA